AACCUAGCCCUGAUCAGCACUAAACACAGACCACUCACCAUGUACUUCAGGCUCAGCUGGGUUUUCCUGCUCUUUAUUUUGAAAGGUGCCCAAUGUGAGGUGCAGCUGGUGGAAUCUGGCGGAGGCUUAGUGCAGCCUGGAAAGUCUCUGAAAAUCUCCUGUGUAGCCUCUGGAUUCACUUUCAGUGAUUACUACAUGGCCUGGGUUCGCCAGGCUCCAGAGAAGGGUCUAGAAUGGGUUGCAAGCAUUAGUGAUGGUGGUGGUUAUACCUACUAUCCAGACACUUUGAAAGGCCGAUUCACCAUCUCAAGAGACAAUGCAAAGAACAUGCUAUACCUUCAGAUGAACAAUCUGAAGUCUGAGGACACAGCCAUGUAUUACUGUGCAAGCUACACAGUGAGUGAAUGUCACUGUGAGCUCAAACACAAACCUCCUGCAGGGCACUCAGAACCAGCAGGGGGCGAUGAAAGCACACAGAGAUCUAAUCAACAAGCAUUCUACCCUGUUCAGAAAGUCCUGAAGGGAACAGAGGACUGA